rnacentral:rRNA from 1 species
CUUGUGACGGCGUACCUUUUGUAUAAUGGGUCAUCGACUUGGUCUAUCUAGCAAGCUUAAGCCGAUAGGUGUAGGCGCAGCGAAAGCGAGUCUUAAUAGGGCGAAUGAGUUAGAUGGAUCAGACCCGAAACCGAGUGAUCUAGGCAUGACCAGGCUGAAGGUAAGGUAACACUUACUGGAGGGCCGAACCCACACCUGUUGAAAAAGGUCGGGAUGAGUUGUGCCUAGGGGUGAAAGGCCAAUCAAACUCGGAGAUAGCUGGUUCUCUGCGAAAUCUAUUUAGGUAGAGCGUCAUCCGAAUACCCUCGGGGGUAGAGCACUGGAUGGGUAAUGGGGCCCCACAGGCUUACUGAUCCUAACCAAACUCCGAAUACCGAGGAGUACUAGAUGGCAGACACACUGCGGAUGCUAACGUCCGUAGUGGAGAGGGAAACAACCCUGACCUACAGCUAAGGCCCCUAAUUCAUGGCUAAGUGGGAAAGCAGGUGGGACGACCAAAACAACCAGGAGGUUGGCUUAGAAGCAGCCAUCCUUUAAAGAUAGCGUAACAGCUCACUGGUCUAAAUAAGUUGUCCUGCGGCGAAGAUGUAACGGGGCUCAAGCCAUGAGCCGAAGCUUAGGAGUGCGUAUGCACUGGUAGCAGAGCGUAGUGUGACAUAGUUCCAUUCCUCCUUAGCGCCUUCGGGCGUGUUGGAGGAGAGGAGCUUUCGAUGAAGCCGGGGCGUGAGCCAUCCGGUGGAGAGAUCACUAGUGAGAAUGAUGACAUGAGUAGCGACAAACAGGGUGAGAGACCCUGUCGCCGAAAGUCCAAGGGUUCCUGCUUAAAGCUAAUCUGAGCAGGGUAAGCCGACCCCUAAGGCGAGGCCGAAAGGCGUAGUCGAUGGGAACCAGGUUAAUAUUCCUGGGCCAGAUGGAAGUGACGGAUCUCGAGGGUUGUUCGUUCUUAUCGGAUUGAACGGGCCGCUUAGAGGUUCCUGGAAAUAGCUCCAUCGCUAGAUCGUACCCUAAACCGACACAGGUGGACUGGUAGAGAAUACCAAGGCGCUUGAGAGAACGAUGUUGAAGGAACUCGGCAAAAUACCUCCGUAAGUUCGCGAGAAGGAGGCCCAGUUUCUACGCAAGUAUUGGCUGGGGGCACAAACCAGGGGGUGGCGACUGUUUACUAAAAACACAGGGCUCUGCGAAGUCGCAAGACGACGUAUAGGGUCUGACGCCUGCCCGGUGCCUGAAGGUUAAAAGGAGGGGUGAGAGCUCUGAAUUGAAGCCCAGGUAAACGGCGGCCGUAACUAUAACGGUCCUAAGGUAGCGAAAUUCCUUGUCGGGUAAGUUCCGACCUGCACGAAUGGCGUAACGACUUCCCCGCUGUCUCCAACAUCGACUCAGCGAAAUUGAAUUGCCUGUCAAGAUGCAGGCUUCCCGCGGUUAGACGGAAAGACCCCGUGCACCUUUACUACAGCUUCGCACUGGCAUCAGGAUUGUGAUGUGCAGGAUAGGUGGUAGGCUUUGAAGCAGGGACGCUAGUCCUUGUGGAGCCUCCCUUGAGAUACCACCCUUCGCACUCUUGAUGUCUAACCGCGGUCCGUUAUCCGGAUCCGGGACCCUGCGUGGCGGGUAGUUUGACUGGGGCGGUCGCCUCCUAAAGCGUAACGGAGGCGCGCGAAGGUUGGCUCAGAGCGGUCGGAAAUCGCUCGUUGAGUGCAAUGGCAGAAGCCAGCCUGACUGCAAGACUGACAAGUCGAGCAGAGUCGAAAGACGGCCAUAGUGAUCCGGUGGUCCCGAGUGGAAGGGCCAUCGCUCAACGGAUAAAAGGUACGCCGGGGAUAACAGGCUGAUACUGCCCAAGAGUCCAUAUCGACGGCAGUGUUUGGCACCUCGAUGUCGGCUCAUCUCAUCCUGGGGCUGGAGCAGGUCCCAAGGGUAUGGCUGUUCGCCAUUUAAAGAGGUACGUGAGCUGGGUUUAGAACGUCGUGAGACAGUUCGGUCCCUAUCUGCCGUGGGUGUAGGAUACUUGAGAGGAGUUGCCCCUAGUACGAGAGGACCGGGGUGAACGAUCCACUGGUGGACCUGUUGUUGCGCCAGCAGCAGUGCAGGGUAGCUAUGAUCGGAAAGGAUAACCGCUGAAGGCAUCUAAGCGGGAAGCCCCCCUCAAAACAAGGUAUCCCUGAGGGCCGUGGUAGACCACCACGUCGAUAGGCCGGAGAUGUAAGCGCAGCAAUGCGUUCAGUUGACCGGUACUAAUUGCCCGAUAGGCUUGAUU